CCCACCUCCUCCUUGUGUAGGCAUCUUCCGCGUGUUCAGUCCAGCACCCACCUGGGCUUCCGGUGCCGCCGCCUGGCUGGCGGGAGAGGUCACCAUCAUGCAGCCGGCUCUAUUCUUAUAGCCGGGAACCAGGAGCCAUGUGUCAGCUGGGUGCCUUGGAGCCAGAGGAUCCUGGGCUGGGAUCCGUAACCCACAUCCACCCAGUGACUCGGGGACACAGUGACUGCUGGGUUCCUUGCUCCCCUCUCCUCAGGGGGGGUGACAUGUCAUCGUCCUUCGUAGGAUCGGUGUUGAGGAUCCCAGAACACUUGUGUGUGUGUGGCUAGCCAGCAUCGUGCCCGGCACACAGCUGAUGCCCAGCCCGCAGUGGGAGUGUUCCUCGUGGUUGGAAAGAGAAUCUUGUUACACCUGGGAUUUUGGUGCCUUUAAUCUGAGAAAGAGUACAUAUUCACUCAAUAAUCCAAAAGGACUUGAAAACUGCUCUUCUCUAAACUAAAGCUGGAAUAUCAUUGGAUUUAAAGAAUCAAGGCUGAGCAGUGAUUUCGGAAGAGUUCUGAGGUCCCGUGGAAGGUCUGCCUCUCUCCAGCCUUGGGUUCUCUGCCUUCUUGAGCACCUCAGGGUCCAGAAGAAAAAGAAGAAAGCCUACCAGUUCUAGGAGCAGUUUGGAUGAAGAGAGUUCCAGGCCCUGGUAGCGGUGGUUUCGGUCUUCAAGCCUUGCACUCCAUAUGUUGGAAAUGUUCUCUUCCCGCAAAUCACGAAAGCGGAUGUAGACCCAGGCCGUGUGAGUGUCUAUUUCCAGGUGUGUGUGAUGACACGGGGACAUUUGUGAUGACACGGCUCUGGACCCCGGAGUGGCCCAGACAGGCUGAUGGAGAAUGCCUUGGUUUCAGGAGGGCCUGGGAUCUGCCCCGAUUUCCCCCCUGCAGACAGGAAGCAGGAAGACUGGACGGCAAUCCAGGACAGGAUCCGGAAACGGUUUCCACCGCAGGUGAUCCUCUGGGGAACCCACUCCUCCCCAUGAAAGGGCACUUUGUCUUGACUCAGGUCACUGAGUGCAGAAUCACACACCUGAGAGGAGGCUGAGGGCAUUGUUUCUCGAAUGUGAGCCAUGCAUAAACUUCCAGGAUUCCUUGUUAAAUGCAGGUGCUAUGCACUUAAGCCAAGUGGAGCUGAUAUUCUGCACCAGUGAUGAACUCCCAGGUAAUAGUGAUGCUGCUGGACCACGGCUGACCCAUUCUAAGUAGCAAGGAAACACCGGAUGCUCCUUCCCACCUUUCUCCACACUGCACACUCCCCGUCUAUGGAGCGCUAGGUCACCUACUCACGGAUUCCGGCUCCAUCACCCAUCAGCAGUUAAAUUUUUUAGAUGAGAAAACUGCUCCUCAGAGAUGUUAAACAACUUGGCAGAGGUCACACAGCUAGUAAGUGACAAAGACACUUGAGGGUGAAGGUCGUUCCCAGUCACUGCAGUCCCUCAUGAGCCCGUAGAUAUGAAUGUGGUCCUCCUAGAAUGGGACAGUCUGUACUUAAUGAACAGGUUUGGAUGGUGACUGUCAGUUUCUUUUCUCUCCCCUUCUUUAUCUCCGAGAUUUUGAUUCUGGCUUCUUCUUUCCAGGAGACUAGGAGACACUUCACAUGGUGGGUGGUCCCCACAGCAACACUGACCCAGAGAGAAGUGAAUCCUUUUGCCUGGUGACUAGAAGACAUAUGAAACUGGAAAAAGGAACCUAGAAUAUUACAUUUAACUCACAUAGGAGAACACACCUUCCCUUUCAUCCUCUCUUCCAAAGCACCUAAUAGCCUUUAGUGGUCAUACGGUCAUUGCUGUGCAUGCGUGCUUAGUCGCUCAGUCGUGUCUGACUCUUUGUGACCCCAUGGACUGUAGCCCACCAAGCUCAGUCCAUGGGAUUCUCCAGGCAAGAAUACUGGAGUAGGUUGCCAUUUCCUUCUCCAGGGGAUCUUCCCGACCCAGGGAUUGAACCCCUGUCUCCUGCAUUGGCAGAUGUAUUCUUUAUCAUCUGAACCACUUGGGAAGCCCAUGGUCACUGCUGAACUAUCCUCAUUUAAUGUGGUUUUGACAGAAUAGUUGGUCUGGUUUUCUUUCCAAUUAAACUUCCUUGUUGAACUGCCUUGGUUUUGAAAGGAUUCCAUAAGGAUGGCUAAUUAUAUAGCAGUUGCUACAGGAGAUGUUUGCACUCAAUUUCAGCUCUUAGGUGAUUCAGAUCAAAUGCUUUCUCCUUUCCUCCCUGGAGCUAUGUGCAACCAUCUUCCUCUCACACAGCAGGCUUCUCAUGAGUUAUUUUUGGAGGUUCAAAUCAAAACAGCAAUUCUGGCAAAUGGGAGAGCGAAGCGAUGCUUUAGUCGAGCAGAGUAGACCAUAUGUACUGAUAAAGACAGCCAAAGACUCAGUGCCUUUAAAAGGCUUCUGAGCCAUCUUCCUCCGUGAAGGUUAAAUUUGGCGGUAACUGCAAACUGUCCUUGGUGCUGUCAUAUUCCUUUGUGAAUUCAGUUGAGGGACUUCCCCAGUGACCCAAUGAUUAAGACUCUGCCUUCCAGUGCAGAGGAUGAAGGUUCCGUCCCUGGUUAGGCACUCAGAUCCUGCAUCCCAUGGGGUGUGGCCAAGAAGUGAAAAAGACAGCUGAGAUUCCUUUACCGUUAUCAAAACUUUGUCCAUUUGCAAUGUGUUGUCCUGAUUGUUUAGCUCUAAGAUGGCGGGUCUUGGCAAAAUUUACUUGAGGACUUUGCUUCAGCUGCUGGAUCUGCCUUGAAACAUGGAAAUCACUUUAUUUCCCCACUCUGCUCUGUUUCCUUCUUUCACCAGAGCACAAAGAGCAUCCCUGAAUAUGUACACCAAGCAGGCAGACCUCCCCCUUCACCUGCUACAGUGUAAGCGCCUCGUGGGCAGGGGCUGUGUUUUUCAUUUUGUUCUGUUCCUGGCACAGGGUUACCGUUCAGAGAAUUGAGUGAACAGAUGACGUGCUGAUUCGCUUCAGUCAUGUCCGACUCUUUUUGACCCUAUGGACUGUAGACUGCCAGGCUCCUCUGUCCAUGGCAUUCUCCAGGCAAGAAUACUGGAGUGGGUUGCCAUGCCCUCCUCCAGGGGAUCUUC